GGGCAAUGUGAGCUCGCAUCGGCCUGUUCACUGACCUGGGACCAGCCUCUGCACUCGCUCUCAAUGGGUCUCAUGCUGUGUCUGAUUGCCGUCUGAUCGCUGGCCCACAGGUGAAUGCGUUACCUGUUCCUCCUCCUCUCUUUCGCUCCGUCUCUUUCGUACAGUCUGUUCACGGAUGGACUCCGGUUGUGCUUUUUGCGACUAAGAGAUGAACAUUUUGGAUUACUCUGGUUGAGAUCUGCUUAUAAUCAAGGUGUAUCAGCUUCAGUGUUUGGAUCUGCUGGCGGUGAUGGAUAAGCUCUGGACUCUGACAGCUGUGCAGAUCACACUGUGACAGCGAACUUCACAUCUGCUCUUUGGAGAGAAGCACACAGACUCUGUGAGCUUACAACACACAUGUAAGUGAUGGGACAUUGUGGUGAAGGGGCUUCUUUUGCCUGUAAAUUAUUUAGCUUGAUGCAGUUGCUGCACUCUGAUUGAGUUUUGCACAGCCCGUCUUUUAAACACUGUCACAUUGUGAUUCUCUUCUCUCUUUCGGAACUUCCCCGAGGCACCUUGACAUUUGCAGCUUUGUUCAAUAUGAUGUCAUUUCAACUGAAAUACAAAAUGGGGCGGGGCACACUGAGUGGCUCCUCCCCUUUUUAAAAAAUGGUUAAUCUUUAAUUGGUCAGAAGAUUUGAUGAAAAGCUUAAGUGAAACUAUAACACACAACAACUAACUAAUAACUAAAACAUAUUGAAGCUAUAACACACACACACACACACACACACACACACACACACACACACACACACUUUCAUUUUGAUUUCAGGGGGACUGUGGGCAGAAGAUAGAUUGGCAGGGAUGGUGAUUUUUAUGGAAGUGAUUUUUAUUGAUCAUUUGAAUUAUGAUUUGAAUAUGAUGCUGCUGGCACUGGGUCAGAGCUGUUGGAGGGAAGCCUAACCUAUUUGAGCUCUGGUUAUUACUCUGAACAGCCCAAAGCUGCAUUACAGACAGAGCAAAGCCUGGGGACGCAGCAGUGGCUUUCUGUUGUGGAAAAUAUUGGGUUUGUGCCAGAGCCCUUUAGAUCCGCUGUUAACAUACCAUUUUCAUCAAGUCAACAUGGAACGUUUACUUCUUCUUGAGUUUAUUGGUUCAUAUUAGUAAGUACAAGUCUUGACAUCAAAAUAAAACAUGACAAAUAAGAAUAAUCUACUUUGCAAAGUUCAUAAGGACCAUGUGAGUUAUCGGC
rnacentral:lncRNA from 1 species